rnacentral:rRNA from 1 species
GACGAACGCUGGCGGCGUGCCUAAUACAUGCAAGUCGAGCGAAGCGGCGGAUGGGUGAGUAACGCGUGGGUAACCUGCCCUUAAGUCUGGGAUACCAUUUGGAAACAGCUGCUAAUACCGGAUACUGACGGAUGGACAUGCGCUGCAUUAGCUAGUUGGUAAGGUAACGGCUUACCAAGGCGAUGAUCCGUAGCUGAGUUGAGAGGAUGAUCGGCCACAUUGGGACUGAGACACGGCCCAAACUCCUACGGGAGGCAGCAGUAGGGAAUCUUCCACAAUGGACGAAAGCCUGAUGGAGCAACGCCGCGUGAGUGAAGAAGGUCUUCGGAUCGUAAAGCUCUGUUGUUGGUGAAGCGGUAAUCAACCAGAAAGUCACGGCUAACUACGUGCCAGCAGCCGCGGUAAUUC